AUUUACUAUUUUUCCCCACACUUUCUUUUUCAAGCCAAACACACCCUAAAAUUUUCCACAUUUUUCUACACUCUUCUCUCACAAAAAUCAGAACAUCCCUCUUCUCUCUUCCCCCUCUCUCACGUGUUCCUUUCUUUCACUCCCACCAUUACCUAUUUCACUUUUGUAGCAAAAUCAAGCUAGAAAUGACAUUUCAAGUUGUAGAAAAGUGAUUUUUGUGUUGUGUUUUGAGCAUUAGAGGCAAGCUUGAGCAAGAAACAAGAAUAUUGAAGCUAGGGUUUGGCUUGGCAAGAAGAUUGAGGCAGGGGCUGAAUGUAAGUAUAAGUGAUUAAUAGCUUAAAUUGAGGUAAAAGUGAUUAUUUUGAGAAGCAAUUCAAGUUAUGUUGAUUGAUUAGAUGUAUAAGUUGUUACUGACUUUGGGAUUCUAUGAUGAAUCUGUUUUUGGGCUGUUAGUAGUAUAAAUUUUGUCGUUGUUGCUGUUUGGAAUGAAAAGCUAAAAGUUAAAAGCCAUAAGUUGUUCCAAAAGCUUCCGUAGUUGAUUAUUGGGUUAAAUAUGUUAGAAUUUAUUUAUUACUGGUGUAGGAGCUGUGUAUACAUAUUUUAUUUGAUUCUGGAAAAUUUGAGUUGAAAUUGAAUUGUCUAGAGGUCAUAAGCUGUCAGUAAGCUGUUUUGGGAAUUUUGCCUUAAAUGACUAAGUUGUGGAUUAACCUUCUGUAUAAGUGGUUCAUGGGGCUGAGUAUAUAUGUUGGAACAUCUUUGCUGAAUGCUUGGUCGAAAUUAAUUUGAUAGAAGCCAUAAGCUGCUAGUUAAGCUGUUUGGAAGUGCUUAAAUAGCCAAACGACGUACUUCUGGUGCAAGGACUGAAAUUGAAAUUUUUGUGUAUGCUGGUUGAUGAAGUAAGAGUACAUCACAAAUGAGUUGAGUUGUUUUGGAAAGAGCAAGACCUAUAAGCCAAGACAUAAGCUAUUUUGGAAAAUGGAUUAUGGAGUUUUGGACUAGCAAAAGCUGCAAAUUUUGGAUAAGCUGCUUGCAAUUUCGGGACUAAUUCCAAGAAAUAACACUUGGAAAGGGUGGACAAUUAGCUAGAGCGGCUGGUGCUGUAGCGAAAUUGAUUGCAAAAGAGGGGAAAUCGGCAACAUUAAAA